rnacentral:rRNA from 1 species
GAUGAACGCUGGCGGCGUGCCUAAUACAUGCAAGUCGAGCGAACAGACGAGGAGCUUGCUCCUCUGACGUUAGCGGCGGACGGGUGAGUAACACGUGGAUAACCUACCUAUAAGACUGGGAUAACUUCGGGAAACCGGAGCUAAUACCGGAUAAUAUAUUGAACCGCAUGGUUCAAUAGUGAAAGACGGUUUUGAUGUCACUUAUAGAUGGAUCCGCGCCGCAUUAGCUAGUUGGUAAGGUAACGGCUUACAAAGGCAACGAUGCGUAGCCGACCUGAGAGGGUGAUCGGCCACACUGGAACUGAGACACGGUCCAGACUCCUACGAGAGGCAGCAGUAGGGUAUCUUCCGCAAUGGGCGAAAGCCUGACGGAGCAACGCCGCGUGAGUGAUGAAGGUCUUCGGAUCGUAAAACUCUGUUAUUAGGGAAGAACAAAUGUGUAAGUAACUAUGCACGUCUUGACGGUACCUAAUCAGAAAGCCACGGCUAACUACGUG